AUUCCAGCUCCAAUAGCGUAUAUUAAAGUUGCUGCAGUUAAAAAGCUCGUAGUUGGAUUUGUGGCGCGGCCGUCCGGCGGGGCUCCUUCAUUGGGGCCGUUUGUCUGGUUUUUCGGCCGCUCCAUUCUCGGGUAGUGUGUCGCUGGCAUUAGGUUGUCGGCUUCUUCACGCCCGUCGUUUACUGUGAAAAAAUUAGAGUGUUCAAAGCAGGCUUAGGCCAUUGGAUACAUUAGCAUGGAAUAAUGAGAUAGGGCCACGACGGUCUAUUUUGUUGGUUUGCACGUUGUGGUAAUGAUUAACAGGAACGGUUGGGGGUAUUCGUAUUCAAUUGUCAGAGGUGAAAUUCUUGGAUUUAUGGAAGACGAACUACUGCGAAAGCAUUUACCAAGGAUGUUUUCAUUA
rnacentral:rRNA from 1 species